rnacentral:rRNA from 1 species
UACGGAGGAUCCAAGCGUUAUCCGGAUUUAUUGGGCGUAAAGAGCGUGUAGGCGGUUUGGUAGGUCCGUUGUGAAAACUCGAGGCUCAACCUCGAGACGCCGAUGGAAACCAUCAGACUAGAGUCCGGAAGAGGAGAGUGGAAUUCCUGGUGUAGCGGUGAAAUGCGCAGAUAUCAGGAAGAACACCCGUGGCUAAGGCGGCUCUCUAGUACGGUACUGACGCUGAGACGCGAAAGCGUGGGGAGCGAACAGG